rnacentral:tRNA from 1 species
GUCGGUGUCGUCCAGCAGCCAGGACUCCGGUCUCUCGAACCGUGAACGCGGGUGCAAGUCCCGCCACCGAUACCA